rnacentral:rRNA from 1 species
UGGGGAAUAUUGCACAAUGGGCGAAAGCCUGAUGCAGCGACGCCGCGUGAGGGAUGACGGCCUUCGGGUUGUAAACCUCUUUCAGCAGGGAAGAAGCGCAAGUGACGGUACCUGCAGAAGAAGCGCCGGCUAACUACGUGCCAGCAGCCGCGGUAAUACGUAGGGCGCAAGCGUUGUCCGGAAUUAUUGGGCAUAAAGAGCUCGUAGGCGGCUUGUCACGUCGGAUGUGAAAGCCCGGGGCUUAACCCCGGGUCUGCAUUCGAUACGGGCUAGCUAGAGUGUGGUAGGGGAGAUCGGAAUUCCUGGUGUAGCGGUGAAAUGCGCAGAUAUCAGGAGGAACACCGGUGGCGAAGGCGGAUCUCUGGGCCAUUACUGACGCUGAGGAGCGAAAGCGUGGGGAGCGAACA